rnacentral:rRNA from 1 species
AUGGCGAUGGACCUGCCCAUCAAAAUGAUAGAAGCCGCCAACAAAAUAUGUAGAGGUAUCCUGUGGAAGGGUCGCCAGGACGUGCAUGGAGGGCAUUGUUUGGUGGCCUGGGAUAAAGUUUGCUCGCCGAAGGAGUAUGGUGGUUUGGGAGUGCCCAACCUGCGCCUACUUAAUAUGUCGCUGAGAGCGAGAUGUUCGUGGCUGGCGCGGAUGGAUCCGGCCAGACCAUGGGCAAAAUUCUACAUUCAAGUCUCAUCGGACUUACUAGCCAUCUACAGAGCAGCCACAAAGUGCACCAUUGGGGACAGAUCCACGGUCCUAUUCUGGACGGAUUGGUGGCUUCACGAGAGCCGCAUACACGAUAUCUUGCCAAACCUACUUGGUGUCGUCAAGAGGAGUGCAACAAAAGUCAGGACAGUGAGACAAGCUAUGUCAGGGCAAUGGUGGCGUGAUGUGUCGCCCAACAUGGACGCCCAGGCCAUACAAGAGUUCCUACAAUUGGUCGACCGACUACGGAGUGUCGAACUAGCGGACGGGAUUGACGACAAAAUUGUCUGGACUUGGGAAGGAGAUGGCUUGUUCUCUGCUCGGUCAGCCUAUCGAGCUCAUUUUGCUGCAUGUAUCGAGUCGGCGGGAGCAACGGAGAUUUGGAAAUCCAUAGCACCGGCACCAUGCAAGUUCUUUUCCUGGCUGACGACACAUAAAAGAUGUUAGACGGCGGACAGAUUACAACGACGGUUAUUGCCUCAUCCGGUGGCAUGCCCGUUCUGCGAUCAGGAGCCCAAAAUGAUCGAUCACCUGCUCCUUGAAUGUGUUCUCGCUCGACAAGUAUGGUCCGUCAUCAUGGGUAACCGGGGAAAGCCUCACUGGACUUCGGAGCCGGAGGCUGAGGUCGUAGGAGGGUGGACUCCUUUUAACAUCCAGAAGAACAAGAGGAAUGAAACAUGGACAGUGAUCGCUCUAGUGGCUUGGACAUUGUGGAAACACAGGAAUGACAUCGUGUUCAACAGAGCUUCUCCAUCCAUGAACACGGUCCUCAGCCAGAUCGAAGUGUAGGGACAUAACUGGAGGGCUGCGACCCUGCUGCGGGAGGCAAGAUUGCUCCCAACUAGGUUAGAUCGGUUGAGGGGCAGCGAGUAG